rnacentral:rRNA from 1 species
UGGGGAAUAUUGCACAAUGGGCGCAAGCCUGAUGCAGCCAUGCCGCGUGUGUGAAGAAGGCCUUCGGGUUGUAAAGCACUUUCAGCGGGGAGGAAGGCGAUAAGGUUAAUAACCUUGUCGAUUGACGUUACCCGCAGAAGAAGCACCGGCUAACUCCGUGCCAGCAGCCGCGGUAAUACGGAGGGUGCAAGCGUUAAUCGGAAUUACUGGGCGUAAAGCGCACGCAGGCGGUUUGUUAAGUCAGAUGUGAAAUCCCCGGGCUCAACCUGGGAACUGCAUCUGAUACUGGCAAGCUUGAGUCUCGUAGAGGGGGGUAGAAUUCCAGGUGUAGCGGUGAAAUGCGUAGAGAUCUGGAGGAAUACCGGUGGCGAAGGCGGCCCCCUGGACGAAGACUGACGCUCAGGUGCGAAAGCGGGGGGAGCAAACAGG